UACGUAGGGUGCGAGCGUUGUCCGGAAUUAUUGGGCGUAAAGAGCUCGUAGGCGGUGUGUCGCGUCGGCCGUGAAAACCUGCAGCUUAACUGUGGGCUUGCGGUCGAUACGGGCAUCACUGGAGUUCGGCAGGGGAGACUGGAAUUCCUGGUGUAGCGGUGAAAUGCGUAGAUAUCUGGAGGAACACCGGUGGCGAAGGCGGCAUUCUGGACCGAAACUGACGCUGAGGCGCGAAAGCCAGGGGAGCCAAACGGG
rnacentral:rRNA from 1 species